AUUGAACGCUGGCGGCAUGCCUUACACAUGCAAGUCGAACGGCAGCACGGGAGCAAUCCUGGUGGCGAGUGGCGAACGGGUGAGUAAAGUAUCGGAACGUGCCCAGUCGUGGGGGAUAACGUAGCGAAAGUUACGCUAAUACCGCAUACGAUCUAUGGAUGAAAGCGGGGGAUCGCAAGACCUCGCGCGAUUGGAGCGGCCGAUAUCAGAUUAGGUAGUUGGUGGGGUAAAGGCUCACCAAGCCGACGAUCUGUAGCUGGUCUGAGAGGACAACCAGCCACACUGGGACUGAGACACGGCCCAGACUCCUACGGGAGGCAGCAGUGGGGAAUUUUGGACAAUGGGCGAAAGCCCGAUCCAGCCAUGCCGCGUGCAGGAUGAAGGCCUUCGGGUUGUAAACUGCUUUUGUACGGAACGAAAAGGUUUGGCCUAAUAAGCUGAGCUCAUGACGGUACCGUAAGAAUAAGCACCGGCUAACUACGUGCCAGCCGCCGCAGUAA
rnacentral:rRNA from 1 species